rnacentral:lncRNA from 12 species
CCAAAGCAUACUUGUUCUCUUGUGCUUUUCAUCUAUUUUUUCAUCAUACAUGUAAUAAUUUUUAUUACUUAAGCACAACAGCAGAUUUUCCUGUAUACUCUGUAUUUCCCCCCUUUAUCUCUCCAAAAGGGCAGUCCUCCAUAGAUGACAUCAUUUAUCAAUUCAUCAGGGAAAUAUCUAACCAAUGCACUCAUUUACUUGAAACUGGUAAGAGUUGAGUAAAUAGGGCUGGUUGGUUGGUUGGUUAUUUAAAUUUUUGGGGGGGAGGUUUUUGGGGGUUUUGGGGAUGUCUUUUUGUGGUUUUUGUUCAUUUGGCUUGAUUUUUUCCCAGAGCAGUAUGGCUUACGAAUAAGAACAGAACAUAUUAGAAAAGUUUGGCUUAAAAAUACCAUCAAUUGUCAGAACAAAGGAAUUGUCUU